AAAUCCGGUUCACUUUAACACUGAGGCGUGACGACGAGGCACUACGGUGCUGAAGCAACAAAUGCCCUGCUUCCAGGAAAAGCCUCUAAGCAUCAGGUAACAUCAAAUCGUACCCCAAACCGACACAGGUGGUCAGGUAGAGAAUACCAAGGCGCUUGAGAGAACUCGGGUGAAGGAACUAGGCAAAAUGGUGCCGUAACUUCGGGAGAAGGCACGCUGACACGUAGGUGAAGUGAUUUACUCAUGGAGCUGAAGUCAGUCGAAGAUACCAGCUGGCUGCAACUGUUUAUUAAAAACACAGCACUGUGCAAACACGAAAGUGGACGUAUACGGUGUGACGCCUGCCCGGUGCCGGAAGGUUAAUUGAUGGGGUCAGCGCAAGCGAAGCUCCUGAUCGAAGCCCCGGUAAACGGCGGCCGUAACUAUAACGGUCCUAAGGUAGCGAAAUUCCUUGUCGGGUAAGUUCCGACCUGCACGAAUGGCGUAAUGAUGGCCAGGCUGUCUCCACCCGAGACUCAGUGAAAUUGAACUCGCUGUGAAGAUGCAGUGUACCCGCGGCAAGACGGAAAGACCCCGUGAACCUUUACUAUAGCUUGACACUGAACAUUGAGCCUUGAUGUGUAGGAUAGGUGGGAGGCUUUGAAGUGUGGACGCCAGUCUGCAUGGAGCCGACCUUGAAAUACCACCCUUUAAUGUUUGAUGUUCUAACGUGGACCCGUUACCCGGGUUGCGGACAGUGUCUGGUGGGUAGUUUGACUGGGGCGGUCUCCUCCUAAAGAGUAACGGAGGAGCACGAAGGUUGGCUAAUCCUGGUCGGACAUCAGGAGGUUAGUGCAAUGGCAUAAGCCAGCUUGACUGCGAGCGUGACGGCGCGAGCAGGUGCGAAAGCAGGUCAUAGUGAUCCGGUGGUUCUGAAUGGAAGGGCCAUCGCUCAACGGAUAAAAGGUACUCCGGGGAUAACAGGCUGAUACCGCCCAAGAGUUCAUAUCGACGGCGGUGUUUGGCACCUCGAUGUCGGCUCAUCACAUCCUGGGGCUGAAGUAGGUCCCAAGGGUAUGGCUGUUCGCCAUUUAAAGUGGUACGCGAGCUGGGUUUAGAACGUCGUGAGACAGUUCGGUCCCUAUCUGCCGUGGGCGCUGGAGAACUGAGGGGGGCUGCUCCUAGUACGAGAGGACCGGAGUGGACGCAUCACUGGUGUUCGGGUUGUCAUGCCAAUGGCACUGCCCGGUAGCUAAAUGCGGAAGAGAUAAGUGCUGAAAGCAUCUAAGCACGAAACUUGCCCCGAGAUGAGUUCUCCCUGAGACUUAGAGUCUCCUGAAGGAACGUUGAAGACGACGACGUUGAU
rnacentral:rRNA from 1 species